GACGAACGCUGGCGGCGUGCUUAACACAUGCCAGUCGAACGGAAAGGCCCUGCUUUUGUGGGGUGCUCGAGUGGCGAACGGGUGAGUAACACGUGAGUAACCUGCCCUUGACUUUGGGAUAACUUCAGGAAACUGGGGCUAAUACCGGAUAGGAGCUCCUGCUGCAUGGUGGGGGUUGGAAAGUUUCGGCGGUUGGGGAUGGACUCGCGGCUUAUCAGCUUGUUGGUGGGGGAGUGGCUUACCAAGGCUUUGACGGGUAGCCGGCCUGAGAGGGUGACCGGCCACAUUGGGACUGCGAUACGGCCCAGACUCCUACGGGAGGCAGCAGUGGGGAAUAUUGCACAAUGGGCGGAAGCCUGAUGCAGCAACGCCGCGUGCGGGAUGACGGCCUUCGGGUUGUAAACCGCUUUCGCCUGUGACGAAGCGUGAGUGACGGUAAUGGGUAAAGAAGCACCGGCUAACUACGUG
rnacentral:rRNA from 1 species